AUGAAACGGGCAGGGAGACGAAUGGGCCGGGCCAGAAGCAAACUUAGUCGAGGCAAAGAAAGGCAGUGUAUAAUUUACAACUAUUGCUCAAAAUUGUCUCAAACAACAAAAUACUAUUGCUCAAAAAGUUCCCUAGAAAAACUAUUGCUCAGAAAAAAACAAUUUACAAUUUCUCUUUUUUUGGUACUAGCACGCUAUACAAAAAACAAUUUUGAGGAGAGUACAAUUUAUAACUUGAUAGGAAAGCAUCAAACUAACCCAGAAACAUAUGGUAUCACCACAACACAAGACACUUGUUAG
rnacentral:rRNA from 1 species